rnacentral:rRNA from 1 species
GAUGAACGCUGACAGAAUGCUUAACACAUGCAAGUCAACUUGAAUUUGGGUUUUUAACUUAGGUUUGGGUGGCGGACGGGUGAGUAACGCGUAAAGAACUUGCCUCACAGCUAGGGACAACAUUUGGAAACGAAUGCUAAUACCUAAUAUUAUGAUAAUAGGGCAUCCUAUAAUUAUGAAAGCUAUAAGCGCUGUGAGAGAGCUUUGCGUCCCAUUAGCUAGUUGGAGAGGUAACGGCUCACCAAGGCGAUGAUGGGUAGCCGGCCUGAGAGGGUGAUCGGCCACAAGGGGACUGAGACACGGCCCUUACACCUACGGGAGGCAGCAGUGGGGAAUAUUGGACAAUGGACCAAGAGUCUGAUCCAGCAAUUCUGUGUGCACGAUGAAGUUUUUCGGAAUGUAAAGUGCUUUCAGUUGGGAAGAAAGAAAUGACGGUACCAACAGAAGAAGUGACGGCUAAAUACGUG